CAGAUGAUCCUAUCAGCAACGAGUUUGUCCAA
rnacentral:piRNA from 1 species